GGGAUCGUUCCUUCGACGUGUUUCGGUUAAUUACUCCUGUUCUUUCUUUUGGAUUUCCAAUCUUUACUCGUGCGUUACUUACAAAAAAUCGCAACGCAAUUAAUGUGAGUAUACUUAACCCCAUAUUUAUUUUGUCACUUUUGGGUGCAGCAUGUAUUCUAUACAAAAACACACAACGCUUGAAACUUGUUAUAUGUACACUCUAUUCAUUUUUAGACAUGAAACAAUUUGAUGCUUGUUAAUCUCGUAUGCUAUGUAAACUUUUCGUGUCUAUGUGCUCAUUAACCUGGUUGAUAGACAAGAUGAUGAAGAAGUAAGUUAGG
rnacentral:lncRNA from 1 species